GCUAACUACGUGCCAGCAGGCGCGGUAAUACGUAGGUGGCAAGCGUUACUCGGAAGCACUAGGCGUAAAGCGCAGGUAGGCGGUUUGAUAAGUCUUUUGUGAAAGCUCCCGGCUUAACUGGGAGAGGCCAAAGGAAACUGUCAGGCUAGAGUGUGGCAGAGGAAGCUAGAAUUCCCGGUGUAGCGGUGAAAUGCGUAGAUAUCGGGAGGAAUACCUAUGGCGAAAGCAGGCUUCUGGGCUAUCACUGACGCUGAUCUGCGAAAGCUAGGGGAGCAAACAGGAUUAGAUACCCUAGUAGUC
rnacentral:rRNA from 1 species